rnacentral:rRNA from 1 species
CUCUGUGACUCCUACGGGAGGCAGCAGUGGGGAAUAUUGCACAAUGGGCGCAAGCCUGAUGCAGCAACGCCGCGUGAGCGAUGAAGGCCUUCGGGUCGUAAAGCUCUGUCCUCAAGGAAGAAUAAAUGACGGUACUUGAGGAGGAAGCCCCGGCUAACUACGUGCCAGCAGCCGCGGUAAUACGUAGGGGGCAAGCGUUAUCCGGAAUCACUGGGCGUAAAGGGUGCGUAGGCGGUUUUUCAAGUCAGAAGUGAAAGGCUAUGGCUCAACCAUAGUAAGCUUUUGAAACUGUUAAACUUGAGUGCAGGAGAGGAAAGUGGAAUUCCUAGUGUAGAGGUGAAAAUUCGUAGAUAUUAGGAGGAACACCAGUGGCGAAGGCGACUUUCUGGACUGUAACUGACGCUGAGGCACGAAAGCGUGGGGAGCGAACAGGAUUAGAUACCCUGGUAG